UCCCUGUGUGUGUUUCAGUUCAGUCUUCCCUCCCCUCUGUGCCUCUUGUUCCCUUAUGACAGUGUACCAGUAUCCCCUCUUGUUUCUUGUGGACUUAUUUGACUUUGAUUCAGCCUGCUGAUGUGGAUACCUCUGCUGGAACUGUUUGAUCACCUGGGACUUCUGAACUUCAGUCAUCACCUGUAUUGUCUUUUUUAGAGAACUUCUUCGACCAAUGAGAUGCCAGCACCUGAGGAGGACCGCCCAUCUGACAGCCUUUAGAGGCCGCCACACCCUGCCAUGUGGCGAGGUUUCACUCCCAGGAAUGAUGAAAAAAGAGUCCGUAAACACAGAAAUUAAAGUAAAUGUAUUCCCAAAUCUGUUGUAAACAAACUUGAACACUUGAAUAUAAUCAUCUUUUAAAAGUGUGUUUGUAACAGACAUUGCAUCCUCUCUAUUUGGAACGCUUUGAGAGAAAACACUAUGGCAGGCAUGGUCUUACAAAUGAAAUUAAAUGUAAUAUUCCUCUAA